rnacentral:rRNA from 1 species
UACGUAGGGGGCUAGCGUUGUCCGGAAUCACUGGGCGUAAAGGGCGCGUAGGCGGCCUGAUAAGUCGGGGGGUGAAAAUUCUGCGGCUUAACCGCAGGACGGCCUUCGAGACUGUCGGGCUUGAGCACGGUAGAGGCUGGUGGAAUUCCCGGUGUAGCGGUGGAAUGCGUAGAGAUCGGGAAGAACAUCGGUGGCGAAGGCGGCCAGCUGGGCCGUUGCUGACGCUGAGGCGCGACAGCGUGGGGAGCAACAGG